CUGGAGUCCAAAAUCUGGACCAUGGUUUGAACGGGGUGGGAGGUGCCACCUGCAUCGUCUACCGUGCUGCGCCCCCUAAUUGGUCGUAAAGGUUCUUUCAUGCAAACGAGGAGGGUGUGUCCUGGGCGAGACAACAGCAGCGCGUCAGGGAAGGUCUUCUACUGCUUUAGUGUAUGUAGUGAAUGCAAACACAACAGCGUGUGUUCUGGGAAAUACGACGUUCUAUGAGUGAAAUAGUGAUUAUUUUCUGACUGUUCCCUCUUCGUCGAUACACUUGCUGGAAUUUUGGAUUAUUUCUCUCGGAAAUAUUUUGCGGGAUUAAUUUGUGAGAAGGUACUCAGCCAGUUGGAAGGAAGAAUUCAGCCCACACCACCUCCAUCUCGGAACCAUUCCAGAAUCUUGUUCUGAUUUGGAUUUCUACUCAAUCUCCUGGUUUGGAUGUUCACUCUGUACCGGUUUGGCUCAUCGAAUCCCAUCGCCUUUGUUGGAUGAUUCAGAAGCUGAGGACUUGGCUGAGGACCACUCUGCGGGGGUCCACCCCCACCUCCCUCUCUUCUUUCUGAACCAUUGUUUCUUCCACUUCCUGUGAACUUCGACAACAGUGACUGAUUGCAUGCUGCAUCUGCCAGUCUCCGCAGGUUCAAGACUGUGAGUAUCAACGAGUUUCCCUCCUAUUGCAGGACGGUUAGAUUUCUCAUUGAGCUCAGGGGAGCAGUAGGUAAAAGCAAUAGCACCAUGGGAGAGGGCGUCUUGGGUGAUUGAAUCUCUCAGCCUGGUGAUUUUGAUUUCGUUAUGCACUUUACUUGAUCAGCAAAGUCCCAAAGUAUUGUAAUCCCCCUAUUGCAAUGCCGAUCACAACAUUGAUGCAGUUACUGGUGCAAUAUCUAAAUUGAGCACUUGUAUAAGCUCCGGAGACAUAUGGUUAGCCAAGUCAAUUGUGUGUGGCCCUAACAAUAUUACUCUGAUCUCUCUCUCUCAAUGUUGUCACUGGGGCUGGGAAUUGCCAGGGACCUCACAAUACGUUUUUAUCACGAUACUUAGGGGCCGAUACGAUAUGUAUUGCGAUUCGAUACUGUGAUUUUUAUUUAUUCAUUGCCACUCGAUGUUCCAAACAUUAUUGCUCAACGUACAUGUGCUGCAGAGGGACAGGAGAGCCAUGAGAAAACAGGUUAGCAAACGGACUGUGGAGAGGUUCUAGUUUCGGACAGACGGGUCUCCUCGCGGAUCUUGUACUCCUAUCAGCCAUGUUGGCAGAAUCCUUUGUGUGGGAUUGAAUGGGACUGCUGCACUGUCAGGUGUGCCGAGGUUGGCUUUGUGCAGGGAAGGUUGCUGAGAGUAAAGGUGAAAAUAGACAUGGUAACAGUCAGAGGUACGGGUAGACCAUUCAGCCCAGGUGUGAGGAAACCCUGUUAGUUUUGGGCCAGAGUGUUGACGUGUUGUCAGUCAUUAUUCCACAGCAAUUCAUUUUUAGUCAGUAUUUGGAUAGAAUGUUGGCUCACCUGAAUUUUCAGCUGGGCUUACGGUUUCUGACUAAAUGGAAAAGCAUGCGAGAUGAUUCUCAAAAGUCAUUGCAGGGGUAGUCUUUCCUCACUCACACCCAGCUGAGUGGUCAACAUAGGGUCACUUUUAAAUCAUUUGAUAAUGGGGCACACCUUGAGCAGAAAGGGAGGAUGUUGACAUUAUUCUGACCCUGUAUAGAAUGUCCACUUUGUACUUUCUGAAUAUUGUGUUUG
ensembl:lncRNA